UACAGAGGGGGCAAGCGUUAUUCGGAAUUACUGGGCGUAAAGGGCUCGUAGGCGGCCAACUAAGUCCGACGUGAAAUCCCAAAGCUUAACUUUGGAACUGCGUCGGAUACUGGAUGGCUUGAAUUCGGGAGAGGGAUGCAGAAUUCCAGGUGUAGCGGUGAAAUGCGUAGAUAUCUGGAGGAAUACCGGUGGCGAAGGCGGCAUCCUGGACCGACAUUGACGCUGAGGAGCGAAAGCUAGGGGAGCAAACGGG
rnacentral:rRNA from 1 species